GUUCGGCUGACGAGUCCCAGACAGGACGAAACGAAAGUCCAAGAU
rnacentral:hammerhead_ribozyme from 1 species